CAUUUGCCCUUUUCAGUCUUGUGCCUUUGUGCAUAUUUUUUUAUUAGUGAAAACAUUCAUCCACUGGCACCAAUGAAAAAAUAAAAAUACAAACUUUAGCUUAAAAUAGUUUGUUUUUUAAAUCAUUAAAUAACAGUGCUGAGGCAAAAAAUUAAAAUGUAAACACAAAAAUAGAAUGAGAUUAAUACUUUCAUGUCUGUUUGGCUAGAGUUGUAAGCUUUUUAGUACAUGUAUGCAAACACACUUUCAGCAAAGCACUAAAUAAGUUUUUCCCAAACACACUUUCAGCAAAGCGCUAAAUAAGUUUUUCCCAAACGAACACUGAUUCAACAGUUCGCACAAGAAAAAGAUACUGGUAAGAAAUAUAAGUACUGAGGAAGAAUAGCGGAUCAACAAAAGCUUAUAAGUUCUAACAAAAAAACUAGAUUACAACAAAACUGCAAUUAUAAAUUGAUAAUAAUAAUAAAAAUGUCACAGUAGUUAUAACAGCUAAAAUGGCUGUAAAAGAUACGUAAUAGAUUGAAACUAAACACCAAUGGAUCAACAUAAGUUAUAACAAAAUAACUAGAUUUCAACAUAAUUACAAUUACAAAUUGAUAAAAUUUAAAAAAAAAAAAAAAAAAGUUAUGGUAGUCAUAUAAGGGUUAUAAUGGCUGUAAAAGAUACAAAUUGCCAAUGGUAGUUGCUAUAUAACAGCUAUAAUGGCCGUAAAAGAUUACCAUAAACCAUAAGAAAAGAUAGAAAUUGCCAAUAAUAUAAGUGCUAUAAUGGCCGUAAAAGAUACAUAAUAAUAGAUCAAAACUGAAGACCAAGAAAUUGAAAGUACCUACAACCAACUGUAUUCCCAGAAUUAACCAUGUCACCUUAUAAUGAAUAGAUUCAAGAAGGUGAAUGAAAUAGACUGCUGAACUUGUAUCAUUAGAAAGGAUGCAAAGCAAAUUGCCAAUGGUACAAUGACCGUAGGUAUACAUGACAGAUCAAAACUGAAUGAAAAGGUUAAAAAAUGCUAGUAUUUAUAGAUUAUACUAUCAUCACCUCAAACAUUGAAUAGCAUAUAGAGCUUACUUGGGGAUCUUCUGCAACUGUCAAAACACCAUCUAAUACAACCUCAUGCUGCUUCCACAUUCAGCCUCGCCACAGCCCACAAAAAGCCUCAAAUACAGCAGUAUAAUUGAUGCUCUCCAACAAAAGCAAAAUGCAGUGGAAGGCCACCAAGUACAUAAUGAGUCAUCCUUGCAAGAUGACAAGUAGUUUAUACAAAGAUGCAAUCAAGCAGUCCAUAUUGGACUCCAUGAUAUAUUGAUAUACAAGCAAAGCAAAAGAACUGCAUGCUCCAUUGCUAUAAAGAGUAAAUAAACAUAUUUGCAAGAAAUAUUGGUGGAGCCAGCCUUUACAAGGUAAACAUUGCACAUUGUAUCUGAAAUUUGUUCAAUUAAUUUGCUGGUAUUGCUGCCAAUUAGGCCUUAACACAUUAUCAUCAGUACUCCGCAUAUCUUUAAAAGGAGAGAAAUAGUUUUAAGUUGAUGCAUGACUAAUAGUGCAAUAUUGUCCAAACAUAUAUCUAUUGAAACCAACAUAAAUUUGAAAGAAUCCUCAUGAUCUUCAACAACAACAGUGCAAGAUAUCUCUCAAUAAACAGACAUUAAAGAAUUGAAACACGGCUGCUAUGCUUUAGGGCAUCGGAGAUCAAAUAAUCAAUUGAUACACUAACAUGCAACACUACUUUUCUUUGGGCGAAAUUAGAUUCUCCAAUAUUAUUCGGGAAACCAUUGCUAACUUAAAACAGAAUUGUUGAAUUGAUGAACUUCUUUUAUAGCAAGUUGCCAAUGACAAUAUUUCCAUUCAACUAUAAUUAAUUUUUAAUUUUAUUUUCAUUUUCAAGUUUUCAGAACCAUAGCCCGCUCCAUGAUGAUAGCUUUUUAUGGCAUUUGAACCCAACAUGCAAAUUUAUUUCAGUUUUUACUUAAUAGAACUAGCUAAUAAUUUUAUUUUUAUAAGUAAAACUAUGUUAAAAAAAAAAUUGUAACUAGAUGUAACUGCCUCUGCAGCACUUGUAUCCAGUCUUAGCAAAUAGUAAAAGUAUUAUUCUGCACUCCUACCCUAUGUUGAAAGAAUUGACUGGUGUCGUUGCAACUAGGAAUGAAUUUAGUAGAGUAUACCUCUAGGCCACGCGAGUAGUGAAUCAAUUGCUGAUGUUGCUAAGCUCAUCCUGUGGUAGUCAUUGGAGUCGCGAACUUAAUAAGAAAAGAAAUAGCAGGAAGGGAAGGGAACACACACCAGAGUGGGAGAGACCCCGGGCAAACUCCCCGUGCGAUCUCUCCCUCAAAACCAAAAACACAUCAAUUUUUUUAUUAUGUUUUUUUUUGUGACCUGCCAAGCAAGCGCACCCGUCAUGGCAAAGGUCGGAUGACAAAGAUCAAUCAGAACGAUUUAGCCCUCUCUCAACUCGGGCCUUUCGUACCGAUCUAUCUUAUACAUCCCUUUACAAUUUUUAUUUUCCAACUCCCAAUAUCCCUCUCUGCUUUCCCAUUCAUAAAUAUUUACAUCACACACACUGACACAGCCCAACAACAAUUGAGUCAUUCUCAUAUUGGUGUCGUAUGUAUGCCCUCAGAGCCGGCAGUUUAGGCGAAUUGGGAAUUGAAUUGAAAUCUGAUUCCGGAUCCAAAGGCAGCUCAUCGAUUGCGCCAUGCGUGCCUGAUACAUAAAUUUGAAAUCCCUGCAACGAUCUUAGACAAACCAAGACGACUUUCCGUGUCGUG